UUCCUACGGGGCGCAGCAGUAGGGAAUCUUCCACAAUGGGCGAAAGCCUGAUGGAGCAACGCCGCGUGGGUGAAGAAGGUCUUCGGAUCGUAAAACCCUGUUGUUAGAGAAGAAAGUGCGUGAGAGUAACUGUUCACGUUUCGACGGUAUCUAACCAGAAAGCCACGGCUAACUACGUGCCAGCAGCGGCGGUAAUAAGUAGGUGGCAAGCGUUAUCCGGAUUUAUUGGGCGUAAAGGUAACGCAAGCGGUCUUUUAA
rnacentral:rRNA from 1 species